UGCAGUAAACUGGAUGAGGAUCAUCUCUACAUGGCCUACGCAGACAUCAUGGCUAAGAGUUGCCAUGAUGAAGAGGAUGACGAUGGAGAAGUGAAGAGUUUUGAAGAAAAAGAGAUGGAGAAGCAGAAGCUGUUGUAUCAGCAGGCUCGGCUGCACGACCGUGGC